CUACCGGUUGGGAAAGGUGCAACUGCACCGCAGAUGGAGGAGCCCGCGCGCAUUAGCUAGUUGGUGGGGUAACGGCCUACCAAGGCGACGAUGCGUAGCCGACCUGAGAGGGUGGACGGCCACACUGGGACUGAGACACGGCCCAGACUCCUACGGGAGGCAGCAGUAGGGAAUCUUCCGCAAUGGGCGCAAGCCUGACGGAGCAACGCCGCGUGAGCGAAGAAGGCCUUCGGGUUGUAAAGCUCAGUCACUCGGGAAGAGCGGACGAGGGAGUGGAAAGCCCUCGCCGAGACGGUACCGAGAGAGGAAGCCCCGGCUAACUACGUG
rnacentral:rRNA from 1 species